rnacentral:rRNA from 1 species
GAUGAACGCUGGCGGCGUGCCUAAUACAUGCAAGUCGAGCGAACGGACGAGAAGCUUGCUUCUCUGAUGUUAGCGGCGGACGGGUGAGUAACACGUGGAUAACCUACCUAUAAGACUGGGAUAACUUCGGGAAACCGGAGCUAAUACCGGAUAAUGUUUUGAACCGCAUGGUUCAAAAGUAAAAGACGGUCUUGCUGUCACUUAUAGAUGGAUCCGCGCUGCAUUAGCUAGUUGGUAAGGUAACGGCUUACCAAGGCAACGAUGCAUAGCCGACCUGAGAGGGUGAUCGGCCACACUGGAACGGAGACACGGUCCAGACUCCUACGGGAGGCAGCAGUAGGGAAUCUUCCGCAAUGGGCGAAAGCAUGACGGAGCAACGCCGCGUGAGUGAUGAAGGUCUUCGGAUCGUAAAACUCUGUUAUUAGGGAAGAACAUAUGUGUAAGUAACUGUGCACAUCUUGACGGUACCUAAUCAGAAAGCCACGGCUAACUACGUG